UCACUUUCAACAACGGAUCUCUUGGUUCUCGCAUCGAUGAAGAACGUAGCGAAGUGCGAUAUGUAGUGUGAAUUGCAGAAUUCCGUGAAUCAUCGAAUUUUUGAACGCAAAUUGCACUCUCCUCGGAGAGUAUGCCUGUUUGAGGGUCAGCC
rnacentral:rRNA from 1 species